AGGGCGUGGAUGCCUACCUCGAGGGACGCUACCAAGCGGUCAGAAUUGGGAACCAGUUCGCCGGCUGGCGCUACGUUGCGCAGAGGAAGCUAGGCUGGGGGCAUUUCUCCACCGUCUGGCUCGCCUAUGACACCCGAUCGCAGGAUUGGAUGGUGACCUCAAGAGGACCCGAAGAUCCAAAUUCUGGCCGCCACUAGACAAGCUACUAGUUGAGAAAUACAAGUUUCCUGAGGCUGAUGCCUGCAAGUUUACUGAGUUCCUGUACCCCCUACUUGACAUUGCUUCAGAAAAUCGGCCAACCGCAG